rnacentral:snRNA from 1 species
GUACUCUGCUUUCUCUUCAGUUUGUAUAAAUCUUUUACUAAAGAUUUUUGUAGAGAGGAGCAUUUAUGAGUUUGUACCCAAUUUUUUGAGGCUUUGCUUUGGCAAGACU